GUUCAAGAUCUUUAGUCAUAAGGGAAAUGCAAAUCAAAACAACCCUGAGAUUUCACCUCAUACCAGUGAGAAUGGCUAAGAUCAAAAACUCAGGUGACAGCAAAUUCUGGCAAGGAUGUGGAGAAAGUGGCACACUCCUCCAUUGUUGGUGGGAUUGCAGACUGAUACAACCAUUCUGGAAAUCAGUCUGGAGGUUCCUCAGAAAAUUGGACAUUGAACUACCUGAGGACCCAGCUAUACCUCUCUUGGCCAUAUACCCAAAAGAUGCCCCAACAUAUAAAAAA
rnacentral:lncRNA from 1 species